GACGAACGCUGGCGGCGUGCUUAACCCAUGCAAGUCGAACGGAAAGGCCCUGCUUUUGUGGGGUGCUCGAGUGGCGAACGGGUGAGUAACACGUGAGUAACCUGCCCUUGACUUUGGGAUAACUUCAGGAAACUGGGGCUAAUACCGGAUAGGAGCUCCUGCUGCAUGGUGGGGGUUGGAAAGUUUCGGCGGUUGGGGCUGGACUCGCGGCUUAUCAGCUUGUUGGGGGGGGAGUGGCUUACCAAGGCUUUGACGGGUAGCCGGCCUGAGAGGGUAACAGGCCACAUUGGGACUGAGGUACGGCCCAGACUCCUACGGGAGGCAGCAGUGGGGAAUAUUGCACAAUGGGCGGAAGCCUGAUGCAGCAACGCCGCGUGCGGGAUGACGGCCUUCGGGUUGUAAACCGCUUUCGCCUGUGACGAAGCGUGAGUGACGGUAAUGGGUAAAGAAGCACCGGCUAACUACGUGCCAGCCGCCGCCGUAA
rnacentral:rRNA from 1 species